GGCCCACCAAGGCGAUGAUGCAUAGCCGGCCUGAGAGGGCGAACGGCCACAUUGGGACUGAGACACGGCCCAAACUCCUACGGGAGGCAGCAGUAGGGAAUUUUCGGCAAUGGGGGAAACCCUGACCGAGCAAUGCCGCGUGAGUGAAGACGGCCUUCGGGUUGUAAAGCUCUGUUGUAAGGGAAGAACGGCAUAGAGAGGGAAUGCUCUAUGAGUGACGGUACCUUACCAGAAAGCCACGGCUAACUACGUGCCAGCAGCCGCGGUAAUACGUAGGUGGCAAGCGUUAUCCGGAAUUAUUGGGCGUAAAGGGUGCGUAGGCGGCGAGAUAAGUCUGAGGUAAAAGCCCGUGGCUCAACCACGGUAAGCCUUGGAAACUGUCUGGCUGGAGUGCAGGAGAGGACAAUGGAAUUCCAUGCGUAGCGGUAAAAUGCGUAGAUAUAUGGAGGAACACCAGUGGCGAAGGCGGUUGUCUGGCCUGUAACUGACGCUGAAGCACGAAAGCGUGGGGAGCAAAUAGGAUUAGAUACCCUAGUAGUCCACGCCGUAAAAGAGGAGAACUAAGUGUUGGGGAAACUCAGUGCUGCAGAUAACGCAAUAAGUUCUCCGCCUGGGGAGUAUGCACGCAAGAGUGAUAACUCAAAGGAAUUGACGGGGGCCCGCACAAGCGGUGGAGUAUGUGGUUUAAUUUGACGCAACGCGAAGAACCUUACCAGGCCUUGACAUGGUAUCAAAGGCCCUAGAGAUAGGGAGAUAGUUAUGGUACACACAGGUGGUGCAUGGUUGUCGUCAGCUCGUGUCGUGAGAUGUUGGGUUAAGUCCCGCAACGAGCGCAACCCUUGUUUCUAGUUACCAACAGUAAGAUGGGGACUCUAGAGAGACUGCCGGUGACAAACCGGAGGAAGGUGGGGAGGACGUCAAAUCAUCAUGCCCCCUAUGGCCUGGGCUACACACGUACUACAAUGGCGUCUACAAAGAGCAGCGAGCAGGUGACUGUAAGCGAAUCUCAUAAAGGACGUCUCAGUUCGGAUUGAAGUCUGCAACUCGACUUCAUGAAGUCGGAAUCGCUAGUAAUCGCGGAUCAGCAUGCCGCGGU
rnacentral:rRNA from 1 species